rnacentral:lncRNA from 10 species
AUCAUUUAAUAAGAUUUUACUAUACAUACUUUAAGGCAGGCCUACACAACUGAAAUAGAUGUGCUCUAAUAAAAUAAACAAAUAAAAAUAAAAAAAGACAGUAAUUUGUGGUAAGAAAUGGUGAAAUGAAUAUGACAUUAAAAACCCAGGGCCGGGUUGUAUUGGGUAUUUUUUUUAACUUUUUCACUUCUGAAUGGGGAUGUUAGGAUUAAGGUAGGAUACAUGAAAUUGCAUUAAUCAAUAGACUUCAGGAAAACUGACAUCUUUACAAUCUGAACAUGAAACAUUUAAUUAGGAGUGCAGUGGCACCAUCUCGGCUCACUGCAAGCUCCACCCCCUGGGUUCAUGCCAUUCUCCUGCCUCAGCCUCCUGAGUAGCUGGGACUACAGGCGCCCACCAUCAUGCCUGGUAAAAGUGUAAUCUCAUGAAAUUUACAAAUGUGUUCUUAUGAGGGGAACAGUGUUUGUAGAUUUCAGUUUAAACUAAAAUGUGCAAAAAUGUUCCCUUAAAAUUUAUUAAGAAUUAUUCUUUCCCAUGAAGUAUUUUUAAAAAUUUAAGGGAAGACUAUGAACUAAUGAUAUAACUGAGAACUGUUUCUGUUUACACUUCUGUUCUCAAAGCCAAUUGUUUAAGAUCUGAAUAACUUCUCUUAUAUGCUAAUAACUCUAAAGUAUUAUCACUAUAUUAUAGAAAACGACACUAAGAUCAUACAACUAACUGUGAGAAUUGAACGUAAAAGCCAGCUUUCUUCCAAUUUAUUGCUAUGUCCAAGAGGUAUCAGCUUUUUGAGAUACACCAUAGUUAUUUGUUAUUUCACUGGUAUCUGUUUGAAUCUUUGUGUUUAAACCUUUAUUAGUUUAGGUUAGUGUGCUAGGUGGAGUCACUCAG